CCGGCGACCGGCGCACGGGUGAGUAACGCGUAUGAAACCUGCCCGUAGCAGGGGGAUAAGCGGAAGAAAUUCCGUCUAAUACCGCGUAACAACCCAUGGAGGCAUCUCUGUGGGUUUAAAGGAAGCGAUUCCGGCUACGGAUGGUCAUGCGUCGCAUUAGCUUGUUGGCGGGGUAACGGCCCACCAAGGCGACGAUGCGUAGGGGUUCUGAGAGGAAGGUCCCCCACACUGGUACUGAGACACGGACCAGACUCCUACGGGAGGCAGCAG
rnacentral:rRNA from 1 species